rnacentral:rRNA from 1 species
CAAACUCCUACCGGAGGCAGCAAUAGGGAAUCUUCCGCAAUGGACGAAAGUCUGACGGAACAACGCCCCGUGAGUGAUGAAGGUUUUCGGAUCGGAAAACUCUUUUGUUAGGGAAAAACCAGUACCGUUCGAAUAGGGGGGUACCUUGACGGUUCCUAACCAGAAAGGCCCGGCUAACUACCUGCCCGCCGCCGCGGUAAUACUUAAGUUGCAAGGGUGUGUCCGGAAUUAUUGGGCGUAAAGCGCGCGCAGGCGGUUUCUUAAGUCUGAUGUGAAAGCCCCCGGCUCAACCGGGGAGGGUCAUUGGAAA